UCUAAUUGUGGGAAUCAAUAUCAUGACAGCGGAACAUGAAGAAAACCAUAAUUUACAUACCUUCUAGUAUGUUUAGAUUUAUUAUCGAGCUUACUCGCAGACUACUAGAUUACGGAUUACUCGCACGAUCUGCAAAUAUCAUGUGAAACUAUUUGAUUCGACAAACGCUAAAUACAAUACUAUGUUACAAAAUUAUUUUCACGUUCGGGUGACUAAAAACAGUCGUAUUAUAUAUAUAUACAUAUAAUAAUAAUAAUUAAUA